CCCUUAGAUGUCCUGGGCCACACGCGCGCUACACUGAUGCAUUCAACGAGUAUUUCCUUGGCCGAGAGGCCUGGGCAAUCUUUUAAACCUGCAUCGUGAUAGGGAUAGAUUAUUGCAAUUAUUAAUCUUGAACGAGGAAUUCCUAGUAAACGCAAAUCAUCAAUUUGCAUUGAUUACGUCCCUGCCCUUUGUACACACCGCCCGUCGCACCUACCGAUUGAAUGGUCCGGUGAAAUCUCGGGAUUGUGGCCAGUUCACUUUAUUGGGAGUUGGCUGCGAGAACUUGCUUAAACCUUAUCAUUUAGAGGAAGGUGAAGUCGUAACA
rnacentral:rRNA from 1 species